GACGAACGCUGGCGGCGUGCUUAACACAUGCAAGUCGAACGGAAAGGCCCUGCUUUUGUGGGGUGCUCGAGUGGCGAACGGGUGAGUAACACGUGAGUAACCUGCCCUUUACUUUGGGAUAACUUCAGGAAACUGGGGCUAAUACCGGAUAGGAGCUCCUGCUGCAUGGUGGGGGUUGGAAAGUUUCGGCGGUUGGGGAUGGACUCGCGGCUUAUCCGUUUGUUGGUGGGGUCGUGGCUUACCAAGGCUUUGACGGGUAGCCGGCCUGAGAGGGUGACCGGCCACAUUGGGCCUGAGAUACGGCCCAGACUCCUACGGGGGGCAGCAGUGGGGAAUAUUGCACAAUGGGCGGAAGCCUGAUGCAGCAACGCCGCGUGCGGGAUGACGGCCUUCGGGUUGUAACCCGCUUUCGCCUGUGACGAAGCGUGAGUGACGGUAAUGGGUAAAGAAGCACCGGCUAACUACGUG
rnacentral:rRNA from 1 species